GAAGGAGGGGGAAGUGCGUGGCUCUCGCGAUGAGUAUUUUCAUCUCUAAGGGUUGUCUUCACAACAGGGGAGGACGAGGCCCUCCCCUCCUCGAGGAGCACCACCACCAGAUACACUUACUGAAUCUGACUUCCAAUUUCCUUCCAGGUGUAAGCCUCCCCUGCGUGGGCUGCUCGAGAUGGGAUUCCCUGGGGAGUCUGCUUACAUCAAUUACUUAACUGCUACAAAACACAGGGUGCUGUUGCGAAGGGUUUUUACAGAUGUGAAAAGGUCCCGCAUCAAAUGAACCGGGGAAGAGGAUCAUCGCACGUGGGCCUCCGUUCCCUGCACAGACAGACGCUGCCUGUGGACAAUAGCUUUUGGCUGGACACAUAGGCUUCCAGCUUGCAAUGUUCUCCCCUUCCCCAUGUCCAAAACUGAACUUGUGUAUCCACCCCAACAAACGUAUGAUCCAAUUCCUUAAUAUUCCCUGUCAUCAGUCUAUCCAAAAUCCG